rnacentral:rRNA from 1 species
GAUGAACGCUGGCUACAGGCUUAACACAUGCAAGUCGAGGGGCAGCAUGGCGGAUGCUUGCAUCUGCCGAUGGCGACCGGCGCACGGGUGAGUAACGCGUAUCCAACCUACCUUCAAGCAGGGGACAAUCCGUAGAAAUGCGGUCUGAUACCCUAUGUAUUCCGACGAGGUCCUCCGUGUUGGAUGAGAGGUUUAUCCGCUUGUUGAUGGGGAUGCGUCCGAUUAGCUUGUUGGCGGGGCAGCGGCCCACCAAGGCAACGAUCGGUAGGGGUUCUGAUAGGAAGGUCCCCCUCACUGGAACUGAUACUCAGUCCACACUCCUACAGGAGGCCGCUUUGAUGAAUAUUGGUCAAUGGGCGUAACCCUGAGCCUUCCUCCUGGCGUGCAGGAUGACGGCCCCGGGUUUUGUAAAUUGCUUUUAUACCGCCAUAAAGUGCGCCACGUGUGGUGUUUUGCCGUGUACCGUAUGAAUAAGUGACCUGGCUAAUUCUCGUGCCACCAGCCGCGGUAAUACGGAAGGUCCGGGCGUUAUCUCGGAUUUAUUGGGUUUAAAGGGAGCGUAGGCCGCAUGUCAAGCGUGUUGUGAAAUGCAUGUGCUCAACACCUGAAUUGCAGCGCGAACUGUCGUGCUUGAGUGUGCGCAACGUUGGCGGAAUUCACGUGUAGCGGUGAAAUGCUUAGAUAUGACGAGGAACCCCGAUUUGCACGCAGCUGACGGUAGCAUAACUGACGCUGAAGCUGGCGGUGCGGUUAUCCAACAGGAUGAUAUACCUCUUAGUCCAAAGGCAAAUUCGAUAUGGAUAUCACGCUUAUCGAUACCGUCGACCGCGGGGGGGGGCCCGGUUUUGUUUUUUUUAAACAAUAAAAAAAGU